CCAACGGCUCUUUUAAGAGCCACCUACAUUCAUCUUAAGAACGAUU
rfam:Poecilia formosa, whole genome shotgun sequence.